GAUGAAGAACGCAGCGAAAUGCGAUACUUGGUGUGAAUUGCAGAAUCCCGUGAACCAUCGAGUCUUUGAACGCAAGUUGCGCCCGAAGCCAUUAGGCCGAGGGCACGCCUGCCUGGGCGUCACACGUCGUUGCCCCCCCAUCUACUCCUUCGGGAUUGCGGGGGGCGGAUGAUGGCCUCUCGUGCGCCUCGUCGCGCGGUUGGCCUAAAUGCCAAGUCCUCGGCGACGCACGCUACGACAAUCGGUGGUUGCGAAACCUCGGUUGCCUGUCGUGUGCGGUCGUCGCGCAUCGAGGGCUCGAAAAAAUUGCCGGGCUUCGGCUCGACUUUCAACGCGACCCCAGGUCAGGCGGGGUUACCCGCUGAAUUUAAGCAUAUCAAUAAGCGGAGGA
rnacentral:misc_RNA from 1 species